GACUAAAAAACCAAAAAAUGGCCAUUUUUUGUGGGUUUUGCAAAUUGAUGUUAAGGAUAAAUAAAAAUUUUUUUUUGAAAAAUCGAAAACGAAGCUUGUAGGGAAUUUAUUCAAGUUUCUCAAACUGUCCUUCUAAUUACUGUGCGACCAUUAGUUGCUGAGAUAUCGAUAAUCAAAGACAAAAAGAUCCUUUUUCAUUUGAAGGCUGAUAUCUCAGCAGCAAACUGUCGUACAGAGAAACAAAAAAAGCAAAUUGUAGCUGAUUAAAUUUCCUAAACGAGCCGUGAAUUGGUUUUUUUGAAAAAUAUUCUUCCGGCCGCGUAGACCUAAAAAACAAAACUAAAAAAUUUGGAAAAAUUUUAUCUCGACAUUUUUCUUAUGAUUCCGUAAAAACCGUGGCUUAAAAAAUUAUUUUGCUGGAAGAUCUUUAAACUAGAGAUUUCAAUCUUCAAUUUUCUUUUUUUAUUUUUUCGAUACGAUCAUUUUUCACGAACAUACAGCCCUCCAAAAAUCACUAAAAAAUUUAUAAAAUUUUCUUGUUCCUUCAAUUUUUUGGAAAAGUGUAUAAUAUAUCCACGAUAUCAGCUUAUAUGAAAUCAACCUAUUGUAGACUUUUUAAACUAUAUUAUAACCACAAAUAUACUUACGGUAGUUAUUUGUCAAAUGUAAACAAUGCUUAAUUUAAUCAACUAAUAACUACUUGCAUACAUUGCAGAAAGCUCAGUAAACCAUUUUCACUUUAAGCAACUUUAGUAAGAAAUAUCUCAAAGAUAAUUACGUGAAAAAUACUAAGAGUUUAAAUAAUCAAAUCUAUUAUCAACAAAAUUAUCAAAACGUGACUGGCAAUCGUACGUGUUGGAAAUGGUGUUUUGGAAAACAGAGGAGUAUCAGCAUGAUUUUAUUAAUCUAAAACAGUUAUAACGUUCUCUACUAUUCGUCACAACCCACGGUUGAGUGUGGUGUGUGCAGAAUAGCCGUUAUGGCCCACCGAUGGUGAAACUGAAAAUAAAAAUAAUAAACCAAACCAAAAAUAUCCCUUGGAGAUGCCCACGAUCCCCACUGGACACUCAGCUCUUCCCAGGCUGGGUUAGAAAACCGAAUUGGGCGCCAGUUCGUGUGCCCCAUGAACAAAAUAACAAAUAAACAGGAAAUAAGAAAAUGAAAUGAAAAAAAAAAUGAAAUAAUCGAAAAUAAUCAGAGAGCAGUUUCAGGUGUUGGAAAAGGAAAGCAAGAAAGAGAUAGUGUGCAAUAAAUAAAUAAUAAAUUUAAAUAAAUCCCGGGUUGGUAGCCAUUUAACCCGAUAUAUUUUAAAUUAUAAUGCUCAGCGGGUAUAUAAAACAAUAAUAAACAAUAAUAUAAGUAAUAAAGUCACUUUACAAUAUAAAUUUUUGACCAAUAGUCAAUUAACGCAAACAAUAAUUAUAUAAAAAUAGCCGUCUUGCUAUCACUCGCACGUGAUAGCCAAUAUAAUAAUUAUAAAUAAUAAUUAUUAGGCGCACACAUACAAUUUUAUCCCAAUAUUAAUCAUUAAACUCAAAACAAAUUAACACUGAUUAUAAAUUAAAUCGUUAUCGCAACAUAAUAAAGCACCCACUGGUGAUAUCUAAAUAAUUGUAAAAUACUGUUCAAAAAAUGCUAAAUACUUAUCAAAUAAUAAGUUACAUAUGGGUCGAUAUUUAACGCAAAAUAAUAAAUAAUACAAAUAAUAAUUAUCACAUUAACUCAUAAUGUUUUUUCAAAUAAUAACUAAUUAAUUAACUAAUUAAGCAAUAAACAAGUGUUCCCAAUACUCUUCAAAAUAAUUAUUUAAAAAUGUAAAAUAGUAAUUGUAAAUAUUAAUAAUUAUUUACCGCCGACAACACACACACGGUCAUCAAUAAUUAGUCAAUCAAAGAUAAUAAAUUAACUGGUGAUAAUUAUUUACCGACAAAGUAUACAGACGGUCACUAAUAAUUAUUAGGAAUGUAGAGUAAGAAUUGCAAUUAUCAAUAAUUAUUUACCGUCAGUCAUAUGCACGGUCACCAAUAAUUAUUUAUAAUAUAAUAACGUGAAUAUUAAUAAUUAUUUACCGUCAAUAACAUAUACGGUCACCAAUAAUUAUUAAUAAAAGUAGCAUAUUUUUCCAAGUUUUGGAUUCCAGUUUGUCGCCAGGACAAAUGAGUACGCAAAUAUAUCUAUAUUUAUGACUCUCUUUCUCACUCACACGUGAGAUAUAUACUAAUGGCCACCAACGCGGGACAAA